rnacentral:piRNA from 1 species
UGGAAGUACACCCUCGCCUCGGGAGCCGGC